ensembl:lncRNA
CCUUACCUAUAAUGGCAAUUUCAACCAAUUUUUUAAAAAGAGAAUAAAGUGGAAGGAAGUGACCUACUCAAAUAAAACCCCAUUGGAGUUUGUCUUAGAACUGUGAAAAUGACUCUAAAAUUCACAUAGGGAAAAAGAGAUAUACUUGCACUACUAAAACAUAAGAAUGAAAAAUGAUUGAAAAGUAAAGAAUGGAAGAAAGAUAUGCCAGAGAAGUACUAAAUUAAAGGGGGAAAUGGCAUAGUGAUAUUAUUAUCUCACAGCAACUAUUUUAGGACAAAAUUAUUAGACAGGGCUCCCUUUCAGGCAAUGCAGUGAAUGCUAUAAACUAGCAUCUAGAAAUUUUGGAUAAGACGUAAUUUACAAGAUCAUUUUAAACAAUUAGCUCAUAAGAAAGUAUGGCCAACUGCCAAAAUUAGCAAGAACUUAGUGCUGUCUAGUCAGUAAGUUCGAAUUACUUAGCUGCUAGCUUUUGAGGCAAUAUAAUUUAGUGGAUAUCAAAGGGAGGAAUCCUGGUUCCUUCACUGACCAGCUGUGAGACACUGGGAAAUCACUUAGCUUUUCUGUAACUUAUUCUUUUGAAAAAUGGGAUAACAGUACCUAGUUGUAAAUACCACGUAUUGUUUCACUAUAUGACCUGGGAUUCAGUACUGGCUCGAUUAACGUUAGCUUUUUUCCUCCUCCACCUGAACUGUAUAUCUGACUGAUCACCCUUACGUAUUUUUCAGUAAAGGGAUAAAUAGUACAUAAGUAUGCAACUAUAUUACUGCAAUUAUGGGAAAGAGGCUACAGUGCAAGCUCCCUCAGAAUUUUGUUUGGCUUGAUUUUCACUAAAACUUGCUAACAACCAACUUCAGAAGCUUUUGCCAUGGUGAAGGCAAACCCAAUUCACUCUUUCUGAAAAGAAGUUAUGGGAGGGUAACAAGUGAGGAGAGGGGAUAAGCUUGUCUCCAAAUGAAUCCAGCAUAUACUCUUCCCACACUUUUUCACUAACAGCUUGUUUCUUACAUGUGCCUAGGAAGAACCCUGAGUAGUAUUCUCUACAUAGCACAAUCAGGCAUCAGAUAUUUGCUCCUAACUUUAAGGAUGUUGGCUCCCGGAAUAAUACAGAGAUACUGGGUCUCAAAACCAGAAUUCCAACAGAGUCUAAUUGUGAGCCUUGAUGCUUAAGUCAACCAGAAGGAAAAGAAUCCCAGCCCCAUACUGUCAUAAAGAACCUUCUGAAAGAGUGUUCCCUUUAGGGGAUUACAACUGUUAGGCACAGGGGAGUUAAACAUCUCAGGAAAUUAGCAGAAUCCACUGCAACAUGGAUUCAAGGAGUCCACUGCAGAAGGAAAUAGGCAAAGUGUGGUGCUGUCCAAGGUGCUAGCCCUGCCUCUAUGUGAUUUUGAGCUCUCCAAGGUGCUGAGUCAGAACUCAAAAAUUUGUUUUCCCACCUGGUGAUGGUCCCUCUAAACCCUGUCUCAUUCUAUCUUUCCUUGAAUGCAACUAGCCAUUAUCUGGCACAUAGCGCUGAGCCCCAGCUCAUGCUUGCCUCUGCCUAUCACCCUGUUUCAAAAUAUAGAGAAUUCCAAAGAUAAAGAUUUACUAUGCACCCGGAGUUGCUGUCGCGGUGCAGGGGGAACGAAUCUGACUAGGAACAAUGAAGUUGCGGGUUCGAUCCCUGGCCUCACUCAGGGGGUCACAGAUUCAGCGUUGCCGUGAGCUAUGGUGUAGGUGGCAACUACAGCUUUGAUUUGAGAGAGCUACAGCUCUUCAAGAUUUGAUCGUUCUCUAACUCUCUUUUGCUGUGACGAUUUGAUAUUCUCAGCCUCUGCAAGAAUGGAACAGCUCUUCUCAGCUUUCAGAUCAAGGAAAACAGUUCUUCUUUCUCUUAACUCUUGCCAAGUUCUGGGAUUCUAACUGGAUCAUCUUGGGGGAAGGGAAUCUGCAGCUGAUCUGGGCCUGUGUCACACAUUCUACCCGAGUGGAAGAUGAUUUCAAAAGGAAAUCGAGUGUACUAUUACCAGUAAAAGGGGGUAAAAAAUUCUGGGAGGCCAAAAUGACCAAUGUCCAGCACAGGCUUCUCUCCAGGGUGGGCAUGAUCUAGCUGGGAAUAAGUCCUAAAUGUUUUUUCAUACUUGACACACUCAUAGGGUUUCUCUCUAGUAUGGACUCUUUGAUAUUGAAGCAGAUUUCUUUCGCUAGUAAAGACUUUUCCACACUCAUCACAAACAUAGGACAUCUCUUGUAUAUGUUUUCUAAGAUGUCUUUUUAAUUGAUCCUGAGCACUAAAGGCUUUUCCACAAUCUACACAGUCAAAGCAUUUCUCCUCGCUGUGGACUUUUUGGUGCUCAGUUAGUUCUGUUUGAAAAUUGAAGGCUUGCCCACAUAUUUUACAAGAAUAAGGUUUUUACCCUGUGUGAAUACACUGAUGCUGACUAGGAUGAGAAGUCCUUCCGAAGCCUUUGCCACACUCAUUACACUCAAAGGGUUUCUCUCCAGUGUGGAUUUUUUGAUAUCGAAGUAGUGGUGAACUACCAACAAAAGCUUUCCCACAUUCAUUACACUCAUAAGGUUUCUCCCCAGUAUGGAUUCUAUGGUGUAUAACAAACUCGGAACUACUUGUGAAACCAUUUUCAGACUCCUUGCAGAGAUAGGGUCUGCCCCAUUGUGGAUCUGCUGAUGCCUGAUCAGAUUUGUGUUAUUAUUAAAGGCUCUCCCACACUCUUCAUACUGAUAGGGUUUCUCUCCAGUGUGGAUUCUCCAAUGCCCAAUUAAUGACGAAUUGACAUUAAAGGCUUUACCACACUCAUUGCACUCAAAGGGUUUCUCCCCAGUGUGAAUUCUCUGGUGUCUAACAUAAUAAGAAAAAUAGCUGAAGCAUUUCCCACACUCUUCACAUCUGCUAGUCCCAGAAUCUGACAUAAAUAAAAAGGUUUCCUAUCAUAGUGGAUUCUUGAAACUUUUCCUCUAAUAUUUUUCACUGCAGGGAUUUCCUGGUGCUUCUCCAGUUCACAUGCCUAUAGGAAGCUGCUUCUCUUAAGAACAUUCUUCUGCACUCUACAUGGUAUCAUCAUGCCUCUUUCUUUAGGAAUUCCUCGUGUUGGUAUUGACUCAUUGUCAAUGCUAGUCCCAGAAUCUGACAUAAAUAAAAAACAAAAAUGCCAACUGAGAAUUACACUAGAAACAAAGGGACAUUGAAAAUUAUAGCAGCUGGAGUUCCCGUCGAGGCUCAGUGGAAACUAAUUUGACUAGCAUCCAUGAGGAUACAGGUUCAAACCCUGGCCUCGCUCAGUGGGUAAGGAUCUGGCAUUGCCAUGAACUAUGUUCCAGGUCACAGAUGUGACUUGGAUCAAGUCACUUGGAGCCACAAUGGGAACUGCCUUGGACUUCCUGGGGACCCAAAACAUCUGCCCCAUCAUCUAACAUCAAAUGCAUCCCCCGGCCUUCCCUUCCACCUGCCAAACUGGCUCUAUUUUUAAUCCACAAAAAUUAACUGGCAUAGUGAAUGAUAGCAUUGUUUCCCUUCCUGGUUAACAGUACCAAGUUCAAGUGAAGUAAAUCAGAGAAAGAUAAAUAUUAUAUGAGAUCACUAAUAUGGGAAAUCUAAUAAGAAAUGAUACAAAAGAACUUAUUUACAAAACAGAAACACUCAGAUUUUGAAACCAAACUUUGGGUUAUCCAAAGGGGAAAUGUGAUGGGGAGGGAGGGACUGGGAGGUUGGGAUUGGCACAUAUAAACUACAAUAUACAAAAUCAUACAGCACUGGGAACUAUAUCUAGUCACUUAUGAUGGAGUACGAUGGAGGACAAUGUGGGAAAAAGAAUGUAUAUAUGUAUGUGUCACUGGAUCACUUUGCUGUACAGUAGAAAAUUGACAGAACACGGGAAACCAACUACAAUGGAAAAAAGAAAAAUCAUUGAAAAAAAUCAAUCAAUACUACUAUGUAGUUUGGGAAAAUUUACUCAAUACUUUGUGAUGGCCUACAUGGGGAAAAAAUCUGAAAAAAGAAUAGAUAUAUAUGUAUAGGCAUAACUGAAUCCCUCUGCUAUACACCUGAAACUAAUAAAACAUUGUAAGUCACCUAUACUCCAAUA